AUUGUGCUCUUGGAAAGUAUCCAUUUAUCAAACCAGGAAGCAUUUACAAUGAAUUAGAGGAUCACCCACAUCCUCUAACUUUUUUAAGGAAGAUUUUUUCUGGUCCUAGAUGCCACAAAUGUGGUCAACCAUGUCGAGAUUUGGUUCUUGAAUGUGCAGAUUCUUCAUGUGAUUAUAUUGUGCAUUGGGACUGUGUAAAGCCUGCUUACCUUCGUAGCAAAAAAACUGCACGUCAUAAAACUGAAACAUAUGAAAUCGUUCCAGAGACCACCGAGGGCUCGUCUUGCAUAAUCUUGUGAAGAAGAAGAAGAAGGAGGAGGAGGAGAAGAAGAAGAAGGAGGAGGAGGAAUAUAAUGUUUAUUAAAUGUCAUAAUUAUUGCAAUGCAUAUAUUGUGUGUUCAUUCGUGGAUUCAUACAAUUUAACAAUAAUGCCUGUGGGGAAGUUGUUGCUGCCCCUUCCAUGUUCUGUUGUAAUUAACUUAUUUUAUUGUUUAGUCAUCGAGUUGGGUCUUGUACAGGUUUCAAUUAAGUUGAAUUUGAUUUUUUGAAUCUAAAAUAUUUGACAAAAUAAAAGUAUUGAUCGAUUUGGAUAUUAUGUUUCUCAAUAGAAUACUUUGAGAUAAUUUGAUAA